CUAUGGCCGAGCGUCUACAGCGGCCAUGCCUAUUCAAACCACCACAGCGACCAUCAUUGCAUGCUGUGUUCUGGUUCCAAACCUGCCUUCUCUACUAACAGACCAGGGCGCCCACACUCACUAGAACUUCCUAGAAAGAACCCAGCAUGCCUUAUGCCACAAAGGGAGAUCUGUCCGUCUGUCCCUGCAAUGCUCGGAAAACACCCCCCAGAAUGAACCAAGAAAGCACUGCUGUUGGCUAUCCGUUGAUGUUGGUGGCUUCCAGGGCUGUGCGUAUCUGAGGCAAGUGCUCAGACACUAAGUUACACCCCCAACCCUCUUUAUUUGAGGCAGGAUCUCAUUAAAUGGCCC
rnacentral:lncRNA from 1 species